UAGUUGGUGGGGUAAAGGCCCACCAAGCCAACGAUCUGUAGCUGGUCUGAGAGGACGACCAGCCACACUGGAACUGAGACACGGUCCAGACUCCUACGGGAGGCAGCAGUGGGGAAUUUUGGACAAUGGGCGCAAGCCUGAUCCAGCAAUGCCGCGUGCAGGAUGAAGGCCUUCGGGUUGUAAACUGCUUUUGUACGGAACGAAAAGGCUCUGGUUAAUACCUGGGGCUCAUGACGGUACCGUAAGAAUAAGCACCGGCUAACUACGUGCCAGCAGCCGCGGUAAUACGUAGGGUGCAAGCGUUAAUCGGAAUUACUGGGCGUAAAGCGUGCGCAGGCGGUUAUAUAAGUCAGAUGUGAAAUCCCCGGGCUCAACCUGGGACCUGCAUUUGAGACUGUAUAGCUAGAGUACGGUAGAGGGGGAUGGAAUUCCGCGUGUAGCAGUGAAAUGCGUAGAUAUGCGGAGGAACACCGAUGGCGAAGGCAAUCCCCUGGACCUGUACUGACGCUCAAGCACGAAAGCGUGGGGAGCAAACAGGAUUAGAUACCCUGGUAGUCCACGCCCUAAACGAUGUCAACUGGUUGUUGGGUCUUCACUGACUCAGUAACGAAGCUAACGCGUGAA
rnacentral:rRNA from 1 species